rnacentral:rRNA from 1 species
UCCGUAGGUGAACCUGCGGAAGGAUCAUUACCGAGAGUUGUAGGCUUCUGUCUACCAUCUCUUACCCAUGUCUUUUGCGUACUUAACGUUUCCUCGGCAGGUCCGCCUGCCGUAGGACAAUUAUAAACCAUUUGCAGUUGCAGUCAGCGUCUGAAAAACAUAAUAAUUACAACUUUUAACAACGGAUCUCUUGGUUCUGGCAUCGAUGAAGAACGCAGCGAAAUGCGAUAAGUAGUGUGAAUUGCAGAAUUCAGUGAAUCAUCGAAUCUUUGAACGCACAUUGCGCCCCUUGGUAUUCCAUGGGGCAUGCCUGUUCGAGCGUCAUUUGUACCUUCAAGCUCUGCUUGGUGUUGGGUGUUUGUCCCGCCUUUGUGCGCGGACUCGCCUUAAAGCAAUUGGCAGCCGGCGUAUAGAUUUCGGAGCGCAGCACAAUCCGCGCUUUGUACUCAUUACGACGACAUCCAUCAAGACAUUUUUUAACUCUUGACCUCGGAUCAGGUAGGGAUACCCGCUGAACUUAAGCAUAUCAAUAAGCGGAGGAA